CCAAAUCCAGUAAUUUAAAUAUUUCAUAAUCGAAGCCCAAUUACAUUACACAAUAUUUAUCAAAUAGGCUAACUGGUUCAAACUUUCACAUAAUUGAAUAACUAAAUACCCACAUAAAUUUAUCAGUUACAAUCGAAGUUCAAUAUCAAUCAGAACAAUUUUGUAAACUCACAAUUACGCUAAUUACUAAAAUUAAAUAUUUUCUUUUCUAGCUCUGCGAUGAAGGAAAUAGAGCUUUAACUGGGGUUUAGAAGAGACUACUUCCUGGAAAGUUAAACAAAACAUGUGAAUUUUAUAAGGAAUAAUAAUUAUUGCACCCCACAAGCAUUCACACAAAUGUGUAAAUAAUUAAAUCUAGUCAUCAGACUAGUUAUAUGAUCACGCGGACAAUCACACAAAUGGCAUCAGAACAGCACUCACAAAUAUUUGCACCUUCCCCACAUAUCCUCAAUUGACCAGCCAUCUCAUUAUUUUUCCAUUCUCUUUUUUCUUUUCCAUACCAAUACGAGGCCACCCAGUGGUUUUCCAUAUCAUUCGUAUCAUAUCAUCAGGUCCACACGAGAGCGUCGAUCUCCCCAUACAUGGCCGAUGGUCAAAUUUCAUAUUUUCAUUAUUUUCAGGACCGUCCUCACAAACCCAUGGUAACUACUUCAUCCCAACUCCACACAAACAAAACAUAACAUUAUAUCAACACAAUUAAUCAAACAUUGCAAAUAAAUGCAAGCAUGGCAAACAAUUAAAUAUCAUGAUGCAAUUGCACAACUAGACAUUCAUAUUUAAUUACAAUUAAAUAAAGGAAUAGUAAUUAACAAUAUAUUAUAAUAAUUGAUCCUUGGAAAAUAAAUAAAUCAAUAAUAAUAAUAAAAUAAUUAAAGAAUGUUAUUUAUUAUAUAUUAAGUUAAAGAAUUAAUCUAAAUAAAUCUAUUAACUUAAUUAUUAAUUGUGACUAGCCUAAAUUCUAUCGAAAUUCUGACAUAACCUCCCUUAAAAUUUGACUAACCCAAAAUUCAAUAAUAAAUUCUCAAAGCCCAUCCUUCGGGCAAUCCAAAACAACCAAUCCUAUUUGCCAAACCAUUAUUCAUUCGUUCAAUCAUUUACUCAAAUCACACAGUCCAUCCGUCAGGCAAUCAAUCAAAUCAAGCACCUAUCCUCCUUAAACAUUAGUAUUAACACCCAACUAUCUCAACCACAAAUUUGCAAAUAUAGCAACUUUCAACCUCUUCCAACAAUACUCAUAUAAGAUUAUUUGUUAAAUCAUAAACUGAUCAAAUUAAUAACUUGUAAUUAAAUUGUUAAGUUAUUAAAACUCAUUUUUAACAAUAACUAUUUUUCACUACUAGUUACUUUAGAUUCGAUUCUUAUAUCAAUAUCAGAAGCGGUUAGGCUUUCCAAACUUAGUUUAUCAGAAUUAUGCAUCUAACCUCCGUUAACCGACCCAAAAAAAAAAAAAAAAAAAAAAAAAUCAUCUUACUUUUAUGCACAACCAGCUAGUUUUAAGCUAAUGAUUAUACUAAUUAACUAGCUGACUAAUUCUAAUAUAUCUUUCACAUUUUGAUUUGUCACAACUAUUAUAAAUGACUUGUAGUCUAAAGUUUCAAAAUUUAUUGUAUUUAUCUAAUGAGGAUCAUAUUCGAUUAAAGACUAAAAAUGUUCUAUCUACAUAUGAACUAUUCUAAUAAUCUAAUUUCUUGUUAUUUAAUUAAAUCUACUUAAAUAAUCAAUUAAAUUUACUAAUCAAUUAAAUGCGAAAUUUAUACAAAAAUUAAGAAGUGGGUCUUUGGGCGUACCGAUGAAAAGUCGAAUGACGAUUCCACUACCAGCGCGAGGAGAGGUAGAUUCUGUCUCUUGUUGCCUCGCCGGAGACUCGCCGUUCGGUCGCCGUACGCCGCCGCCUAUGGUGGCCGGAAACCGUGAGUGCUCGGAAUCGAGCGCUCAUCGCACUAUCUGGCUCGGUUUUCUGUCAGGAGUCCAUUUGUGGCAUUAGUUGCGCGAGAUCAGCCUUCUAUUCGACCGGAGCGGGCUCGACAGGAGCCAAGUGCCGCUGCCAUCUUCGCUGCCGAUAAGUAGAGGAAACUACAGCUCGUCGGAAUCGCGAGCGAGGAAGAGACGCGACUGAGCAGAGGCGAUCGGCGGUUGAAUAGCAAAGAUUGGAGGUGCUGCUGCGUCGCCGCCAAGGAGAGACCGCAGCUCGCCUAUCCGCCUUGCUUGCCAGAACUGGAAACAAAAGGAGAGAAGGAGAGAAGCCGGAAAAAGGGACCAGCGGCUCCAGGGGAGUCGAUUGCCGCCUCGCUCUCGUCGGGCGGUGGCCGAAAACGGGAAGGAGGGAGGAGGUCUCGCCUGCGCUCGCUGGAGAGGGAAGAAGAAGAAGAAAGAAAGUGGUUCUAGAGCUUUCUGGGCCAUUUUGGUUCGAUUCGAACCGGUUUGGUCCAAUUCAGUGAUUUGAUCCGGUUUUUGCUUGGUUUACGGGUUUUUACCUGGUUUUCGAAACACUCAAAUUGGUUUAUAGGUCCGGUUUAGUAAUAAU
rnacentral:lncRNA from 1 species